CCCUUAGAUGUUCUGGGCCGCACGCGCGCUACACUGAUGCAUUCAACGAGCCUAUCCUUGACCGACAGGUCCGGGUAAUCUUUGAAUCUGCAUCGUGACGGGGAUAGAUUAUUGCAAUUAUUAAUCUUCAACGAGGAAUGCCUAGUAGGCGCAAGUCAUCAGCUUGCGUCGAUUACUUCCCUGCCCUUUGUACACACCGCCCGUCGCUCCUACCGAUUGGGUGUGCUGGUGAAAUGUUCGGAUCGGCCGUUUGUCGCGGUUUCCGCGUCAUGUGGCUGAGAAGUUCAUUAAACCCUCCCACCUAGAGGAAGGAGAAGUCGUAACA
rnacentral:rRNA from 1 species